rnacentral:rRNA from 1 species
GUGCCAGCAGCCGCGGUAAUACGGAGGGUGCAAGCGUUAUCCGGAUUCACUGGGUUUAAAGGGUGCGUAGGUGGGUUGAUAAGUCAGUGGUGAAAUCCCCGAGCUUAACUUGGGAACUGCCAUUGAUACUAUUGAUCUUGAAUACCGUGGAGGUCAGCGGAAUAUGUCAUGUAGCGGUGACAUGCUUAGAUAUGACAUAGAACACCAACUGCGAAGGCAGCUGGCUACGCGAAUAUUGACACUGAUGCACGAAAGCGUGGGGAUCAAACAGGAUUAGAUACCCUGGUAGUCCACGCCCUAAACUAUGGACACUCGACAUCAGCGAUACACUGUUGGUGUCUGAGCGAAAGCAUUAAGUAUCCCACCCGGGAAGUACGAUCGCAAGAUUGAA